AUGAGCGAGGGCUCCGGCCCGACCUCCAACCCUUUGUGAACCACCUCGUUGCUUCGGGGGCGACCCCGCCGUUCGCGUGGCGGCGGCGCCCCCGGUGGCCAUCAAACACUGCGUAACCUGGCGUCGGAGUUUAAAUCAAAUUAAACA
rnacentral:misc_RNA from 1 species